rnacentral:tRNA from 1 species
CUAAAGACGUUAGUAAAAUAUAUUACUAAACCUUGUCAAGGUUAAAUUAUAAGUGAAACCCCUAUACGCCUUA